GAAGUAUUGUGUAAGCAUAGGAUGGCAUUGUCAGUCUCAUAGAAAAAAUAGCACUAUUGCAAUAAAAUGAUUUGAUGGGUUACAUAAUACAUUAAAUUCGCUACAAUUGAAAAGGAAUACUAAAAAGAAAAUUGUUCUACAGGCUCAAAAACAAAUAAAGCAUUGAAUUGAUGCAGAAUGUACAGAAGAUAUGACAAACACCACCAACAAAGGGAUCUGAAAUAUUUGUCAAUGAAGGUAUGAAGACCACUGAAAUAGAAAAAUCAUUAUUGAGACUACAGGAGAAUUAAAAUAUCGUUACCACAUUGAGAACAAAGCAGAAGGGAAAUACUAAACCAGAUGAGGACUUUAAUGUCUUAUAUUAGGAAAUAAGAAUAAAGAUUAACUGCUUAAGUACACCAAAUCUUCACACAAGCCAAUGUGCUUUCUUUAUAAUUAAGCAUAUUUAUCUUAGGCAAGCCUCAUCUUUACAAUGCAAUGAAGCAAAUUUUGCACAAAAAAUGAUGAAUUUGUCAGUUCAUACUUCAGACCAUACAUUAAAAUUCCAUAUAUUUGUGUGGAUGUCCAAAAUGUACAUGGGAAAAUGAUGGAGCAUUUGGUACACAUUAUUUUCUCAGUUGGUUAAAUAUUUCCAUUUAGCAUUUUGGUCAAUGUUCUAUGAGAAAUUUCAGUUUCCUAAUAAAUAAAAAGGAUAUGCUAUUCAGUUUUGAGGUUGGUUUCAAACCCUGGCAGCCAAUACUAGUCACAUAAAUCCCUAAUGUUAUGCAUAACGCUAAACUAAAUAAACAGUCAUCUAUCAUCUUUCCAUCAAGGCAGGUUCUUAUUGACUUUUAGAAUUUGCCUUCCCAGAUUUCCUACCAUAUUUUAUUGCCUCUCAAAAUCUGUUUUCACAAAGAUCAAUAUAAAUUUUGUGCUCUACCUCAUGAAGACUAAAACAGAACACAUAAUUAAUCCAUUGCCACACAACAAUGCAGACACAAGUUUUAGAACUGCAUAAUAAUGAGAUAUCAAGCACUUGCCCUACAGUAGUUUCCUAAAAAAGUCUAAAUGUAUCAUUGCUAAAUGUUUAUCCAACAUGCCCAAAUUUGAUGUCUUGAUUUUUAUGUUAACUUUUACCUAAAAUGUGCUCAAAAUUAGCAGUACAAGUUAGUAUACAGUGGCUAAGUGCCCAUUCUAUGAUUUCCAGACGUCAAAUCUACAAACAUUUGAAAACACUUGGACACUUGAAAAUUGAAACUGGUUAACAGGAAAAUUAAAGUUGUUGAAAUUGUGCACUAAUCCUCCAUAACUAA
rnacentral:misc_RNA from 1 species